UCCAUAGCGACGGGGUACGCGAAGUGACAAAAUGAAUGGGACUUUGGUGAUAUGCGUGAUGAAUAGGACAGCGGCACAAAAGAUACUAUGAAUGAUCUUUGAACUUGAUUACAACUGGCACAAUGAAAUGGGGAAAAGGAAACAGCACACUGACCCGUGUCAUACAUUUGUUCCAAAGAUCAGUGAGACUAGCAAGAAACUCGCACUGCGAAGGCUAGAGAACUUGGAUACGAAAGGCAUACCCCAUUUUAUGCUGGAAACCAGAAGCAAAGUCAAAUUGCAUGAGCCACUUGAACCUAUUCCGCCAAUAUCACCAAAUUACAGUUAUCCAACUGUCAAAGAAGGAUGGGUUAAAGGUUUUCACAAAUCAAAAGUAAAUGAUUGUGCUAUAAGCCCAGACACUGACGGAAUCGUUUCUCCACCAGUCAUGAGCAAAAAUGCUGUACUUCCACCCAGAAGGGUCGACUUGGAUGAGAAUAUUUUCACUUUUCGUCCAAAAGUCAGUUCAGCUAGUGUAAGAAUAGCUGAAAACCUCGGUUCAGAUUUCAUGUCUAGGCAACAACAGCAUUUGGAUCGGCAAAAGAAACUUAUUGAGCAGGCAACACUUCAUCAUCGUAUAGAGAACGCCUAUCUGUCUCCCUUUAACAGCAGUCGUAAACUUAGGGAGAAAGUGUUAAAAGAAUGUGGGGAUGCUAACAAUAAUGCUGUAUCACCGGAGGGGCCAGACAGCCAGCUAGGCAGCACACGCACGGACUCGGACGGAGGGGACGCAGAGACGGACACCAUGUGUCCAGCACAGACCUUCCCCAAGACACAUGUCAGCGCGACCGGGCUGCAGAGGCUGCUGGAUGGUCCCUACACUAAUGGUGCCCAGGACAUGGUGAUGAAGCGCCACCAGGCUCGCUACCACUCCCACCCGACCUUCAGUAAACAGAGGCUUCUUGUUGACUCAGGGGACAGUGAAGUGAAAGGAGAUGACUCAGAUGUGUCCAGUAGCUUGUCACGCAGCAAGACCAUGCCAUCACUGGGACGUCCCAAACUCACUCGGAGGCUGACGGGGGUGGCAGAUGGGGAGAGGUUACGUCAAGCCAAGGAGAUUGUAGAGAAAGCAAUUAAGUACCGCAAGGUGUUCACCAUCCAAGGUGGCUACUCCGUGAUUCGCCAGAGUCUGCGUCGCAGGGGUUGGGUGGAGAAGUUCUACCGGAUACCUGGGCCGGGCAAGAAGGCUAACAAGUCCAAACAUAAGAGAACAUCUGAUGACGAUGAUAGUGAUGAUGACGAUGAUGAUGGUGGUGGUGCCACUGAUGGCAAUGACAAUACUGAUGGCAAUGAUGAUGAUGAUGAUAAUGAUGAUGACAACGAUGAUGACAACCAUGAUGGUGGUGACCAUCCAAAGAUACCACCCUGGGAGGAGGAUGAUGGCUUGUAUGGAAUCAUGUCACGGAUGGUUCGCAAUGUGAACCCGUCAUUCAUCUGGGUGUUGAAGAGAGAUGUGAUAGACUACCGCUUCCUGUCAAAGGAGCAGAUGGUCAAUCAUUACUGCAAGGCUGGAUCAUUCACCACCAAGGUUGGUUUGUGCGUCAACAUGAAGAAUGUGCCGUGGUAUGACAACGCUGACCCUGACAUGUUCUUUCCCCGAUGUUAUCGACUCAGCCAGGAGGAGGACAAGGCAGCCUUCAUAGACGACUACCGGCUGACGGCUUGCAUGAACAUCAUCAAGAUUGUGGUGAGUCAGAGCAUGGAUGGUACUGUACAACCCAAGGAGACAGGGGAAGACACGCCCACCUCCCCUGCCUGUACUAACCCCGAGUGUACCCGAUCUGUACCCAACUCCACCUCCGGCAACAAGUGUGUCCACACACAGAAGGGGGAGGAAGACAAACAGGCGGAGGACAAAGAUGAACCCAAGGAUUCAUCCGAUUCAUCCAAACCCUCAUCAUUAACGCCCCGGGGGAAGAAGCCCAAGAAGAAGGUGCAGGUGCCCUUGCGAGUUCUGGAGCAGGCCAUGUAUAGAUGUGAGCAGUUCCUCGCCUCCAAGGACCACGAUGAUAUUGAUGUUCAUCAUGAUCCUAUGACUCUGACAGAUGGCCAGUGGGAUCAGCUGAUCCAGCACUACUAUCACCUGGCACAUGACGAGGGCAUCAUGCAGUCUGUGGCUCAGAACAUCCUCGGCCAGUGUGAGAGUCUUCUCAACAGACUCAAGACAAGAUGGCCUCAGUAUGAGAUGGACGGCGCUCGAAAUGUCUGGAUUGUCAAACCUGGGGCCAAGUCAAGAGGGAGAGGUAUCAUAUGCUAUGACAGAAUCGAGGACAUGUUGAAGCUGGUCAACUCCCAGGUUGUGCGGAAAGACAGCAAGUUUGUUGUGCAGAAGUAUAUAGAGCGGCCAUUGUUGAUCUACAACACCAAGUUCGACAUCCGCCAGUGGUUCCUGGUGACGGACUGGAAUCCCCUGACUAUCUGGUUCUACCAGGACAGCUACCUGCGCUUCUGUUCCCAGCAGUACACGCUGGAUGACUUCAACGAGGCAAUCCACCUCUCCAACAAUGCCAUACAGAAGCACAAGAAGAACGGUCCCCGCUCCAACAAGCUGCCCAGUGACAACAUGUGGACCCACGAGGACUUCCAGGAAUAUCUCAAGACUCGGAAGCAGGCUACUGCGUGGGAGGACAUCAUCUACCCUGGGAUGAAGAAAGCACUCAUCUGUGCCCUCCUGGUGACUCAGGAUAUCAUAGAGUACAGGAAGGCGUCUUUUGAGUUGUACGGUGCUGACUUCAUGCUGACGGAGGACUGCCAGCCCCUGCUGAUCGAGAUCAACUCCUCACCAAGCAUGGAGGCCAGCACGCCCAUCACAGCCCGACUCUGUACCAACGUCCUCGAGGACACCAUCAAAGUUGCAGUAGACAGGAAAUAUGACCGAAAUUGCGAUAUUGGUCGCUUUGAGCUUGCUUACAAGCAACCAUUGGUGACAGUGCCGCCAUACAUUGGCAUCAAUCUCAGUGUGGAUGGCCAGGCCAUUCGCAAACCAGGAGUACGUAGGCCUGAUGUUGCCAUUCCAGUGGAACCCUACUUCACUCCACGGAAUAGUGUCCGACAAAGUUUGUCCAAUGAGAAAGUGGCCGAAACUAAGAAGUCAGGGGGAAGUAACUCUGUGCCAGCAGCAGGGAAGUCAAGUGGCGAGGGUGGGAAAUCCACAGGAUCUUCCAAAGCCAGCAGUUCCGAGUCUGGCAAUACUAAGGGACAUUCUACCAAGUCAGAGCCAGUAUCUCAGGACUCGGGUCACAAAGCUUCAGUUAUAAUGGUAUCGAAAUCGGAGAGUAAAAGAUCGGAAUAUGUUGAUAGUCACCACUCUAUAAAGAAUCAUCCCCAGCCUCCAUCGCAUCCCAAAGUGUGCACUCAGACGCCUUAUCUGGCAGGACUGACAACUCGGCGGAUUGUAUCACGGACGUCUGUGUCGAACAACUACACGAUCCCACCCACGAUAAUGGACAGGCAAAACAAGGCCACUGUGUCCGUUAACAAUGUGGAGUCCACAGACUUAAAGACAAUGAAAUCCACUGGAGUUGUCAAAGGUAAAAAGCGGCGUAGGAAACAAGGCCAGGCUCGGCCAAAACUUGGACCAAUCAAAUUGACAAUGACCAGCAAAUCGUCGCCGUACACUGUGGUGCGCAAACUUCCUCUCGUUAAGGUCCCUAUCUUUAACAAGCACAGCUGACCUUGUCUGAUCUAGGUCCAGACAUCGGUCAGUUUGUACGCACCAGAAACGAAAGAAAAAACAUUCGCAGUAGAAGGUUGUGUAGAUGCAUUAAUCGACGGCACAUGGGGCCGAACUUGUAGUGAGUGUGGGGGUGGAAUGAACUUACAUCUCGAUAACGUCAACCCUAACUGCC
rnacentral:misc_RNA from 1 species